rnacentral:rRNA from 1 species
CCUACGGGAGGCAGCAGUGAGGAAUAUUGGUCAAUGGCCGAAAGUCUGAACCAGCCAAGUAGCGUGAGGGAUGACUGCCCUAUGGGUUGUAAACUUCUUUUAUGUGGGGAUAAAAUUUUCCACGUGUGGGAUUUUGUAUGUACCAUAUGAAUAAGGAUCGGCUAAUUCCGUGCCAGCAGCCGCGGUAAUACGGAGGAUCCGGGCGUUAUCCGGAUUUAUUGGGUUUAAAGGGAGCGUAGGUGGAUUGUUAAGUCAGUUGUGAAAUUUUGUGGCUCAACCGUAAAAUUGCAGUUGAAACUGGCAGUCUUGAGUACAGUAGAGGUGGGCGGAAUUCGUGGUGUAGCGGUGAAAUGCUUAGAUAUCACGAAGAACCCCGAUUGCGAAGGCAGCC